CCGGCUCCCCCAUGGAACCCUCUGGCGUGACCCCCUGUGCUCGCAGCCCCCCACCCCACCCCUGGGCACUCAGGUGGGUGGCAACCUUCUGACUUUCCGGCUCCCUUUGCAGCGAUUGCUCCUGGAGAACAUGUUCAGGUGAUUGUGAAGGUGGAUUGGGUUUCUGCAGCUUGUCCUGGGGCUCUGAUGUCCUCUGAAAGCCCCAACAUCCGCCCCAGGAGGUCAUGCCCCCCGUGACACCCCCCGCCGCGGCCAUGGGGACUCAGGACUGCUCACCCCAAUCUGGAAGAUCCUGCCAAGGCUCUUGCCUGUACUUUGUAACAGAAAAGCAGCGGGCUGGAGUCGCGCUUCUUAUCCAGACGCAAAACCACACGGGCAGGCAUGACCGCCCGCGAGGAGGAGGGAAACAGAGGGACCGCUCUUGCACGACGUGGACGCGUGACCAGGAAGCACAAGAAGGCCUGUCCAGGAGGCUCUACCCCAUGUCCAUCACUUGGGCAAAACACAAAAGUUCUGUGCGUGGGGUCCCGGGGAGGACUCGGAAUGCAGGUGCUCCCAGCUAUACGGUGGCGUGUUCGGGGUGUGCGCCAAGCGGCUGCGUGGAGGGCACAUGGAGGGCACCAGGGCUCCUAAUAAAGCCCAGGGCAGGCCCCUCGUGCCUGAGAUUCACUCCGAUCCUGUGGGCUCCCCAGCGUGCAUGGGCACUAGGAGGGCCGGGCCCCGGGGGACCCUGGGUUUCCACAGAUAUGCAUGUGUGUGUGUGUGUGCACACACGUGUGUGCAUGUGCCCAAAGAGCAACCUGUAGCUUCUGUAAUUAAAAUGAAAAACAAUGAUACAGAUACAGUAGAAAUAAAACCCUCCUAAAAAAAAAAAAAAAAAAAAAAAAACCCUCCUGCUCCGUUGGUGGGAAUGUGGCUGCAGUGGCUGCUCUGGACCUUGGCAGGGGGGAGGUCAGAAAAUCAAACACAGAGCUACCCUGUGACCCAGUAAUCCCACCAAGAGCAGGGCCUGGAGUGGAAGCUCCACACCCACGUUCACAGCAGCCGAUACAUGGGAGCCACUCAAGGGUCCAUCAACAGACAAGGGGAUAAACGUGGGCCAUCCACACGCUGGACAGUCACUCAGCCUGAACAAGGAGGGACAUGCUGACACCUGCCACAGCGUAGGUGGACCUGGGGGACGUGAUGCUGAGUGACACGGGCCAGACACCAGGGGACACAUCCUGCAGGAUUCCUACCCACACAAGGGCCCUAGAGUCUCCAGAUUCACAGGGAGAGAGAGUGGACGGUGGUCACAGGGGGAGGGAUGGGAUCAGUGUCUCAGGGAGACAGAGCCUCUGUUGGGACGAUGGACAGUCCUGGAGACAGACCGUGGGGACGGCUGCACAACAGUGUGAAUGUGCUUAGUGCCCCUGAACCGUGGCUUAGAGGUGGUUAAAUGGUAAUUUUUAUGUUACGUGUAUUUUACCAUGAUUUAAACAAAUAAAUAAUUAUUUUUUCAAAAGCAAUAAUACAAAGAACGGUUGGACUGGAGAACAGCUGUGGGUAGACUGGGGUCACUGCACACAUCCUGAGGGGCCUCUGGAGCACCCCUCCCUAGUGAAUGGGGGUUUGGGGCGUUGAGGAGAGUGGUCAGAGCAGGUGUGAGGCCUGCAGGCAGCCACUGGGGUUUGCGCUGGAGGGGUCAGGAUGGUGGGCCCAGGAGUCACCAGGCUGUUGUGGGGACCCCAGCACUCCACGUUGUCACUUGCUGCCCGUUGCCCCCCAAUCUCUCUUUUCAUCUAUGUGACAGACACCUGGGCGUACUGUGCAGGGGCUGGGGGGACACAGAGACCAGCAUGCAGACCCUCUCCAACUGAGACCCUGAUGGCAGGGACCCUGUCGUUUUCAGAGAGCCCCCAGGAAGUGCUUGUUGGGUGACCAGUGACCACACAGGUGAAUGCCUGUAGCCCCUCCCCCACCCUGUGCGCCCCUUCUGGGAGCCAGAGCCUCAGCUUUGGUGGCACCAUAAGACCUCCCCUGGGGUGGAAGCCGAACCCCUGUGGCAUCCACUGGAGAACCUGAGCAUGCUCCCUGUCUGGCCC
rnacentral:lncRNA from 1 species